ensembl:lincRNA Gm26782 predicted gene, 26782
GGAGUCCAGCUGACACAGGUCUCGGCCAGGGCUCUACCUGCGCUCAGGAUUGGAAAAGCUGUGCGCAAUGAGAGGCGCGUUGGUUCUCCGCAACGGGGAGCAGAAACCGGCCUGGGUCAGCCAGUGGACUGGUUGGAAGCAGAGAACUGAAAGAAAACCAACACCCUAGUGAGGCCAAGGGGUAAGCGUAGUCUUUACCCCUCAUCAAGGAAACUUCCCUUGGCAACUGACAUCGAUCAUUACAGAAAACUGCAACCAAUCAAAUUGCAGUUGUACAGCCCAAUCCCAGCAGAUACAGCUACAAAACAACUCUUGCAACUAAGCUCAGGGAUCGUUGUGAAGGAGAGAACGGGAAGAUUGUAAGAUCCAGGGAAUCAAGGAAUUUGCUAUGAGACAGUGUCUCCCAGAAGGUGCACAUCCAUGAAAUCUCUCCAAUAUAGCUGCCUAAAUGUGACCUGAGUAAUGACACCAGUCGCCAUGUUAACACGGAUGAGGGAAAGCCAGGGAGGCUACACCCCCACCUGCAGCCAACUAAGAAAUGCUGGGAUUGGGAAAAAUUGUCUUCCCCUAGGAAGAGCACUGCAGUUGUUAUCCCAUACCACGUGGUCAGCACUGAAAACAUAUAUAUACAACUAAUAUCAUACAGGCUGAGCCAAUUGCAUUUACACAUUUAGGAAUAUACAUAUACACUUUCAUGUGUGUAAUAACAACCAAAUUUUGUUUUGUUUUUAAAAAGCUCAUGAAUUUGAAAGAAAACAAUGGGAAGGAUAUAUGAGAGGGUUUGGAGAGAGGAAAGGGAAGGGGGAAAUGAUGUAAUUAUAUUAUAAUCUCGAAAAAAAAAAAAAAAAACGUGGGCUGGUGAGAUGGCUCAACGGGUAAAAGCACCAACUGCUCUUCUGAAGGUCAUGAGUUCAGAUCCCAGCAAACCAUAUGGUGGCUCACAACCACCCAUAACAAGAUCUGACGCCCUCUUCUGGUGUGUCUGAAGACAGCCACAGUGUAUUUACAUGUAAUAAAUAAAUAAAUCUUUUUAAAAAAGUAACAUGAAAUAACACAAACAGCUCUCAUCAAGAAGAUGAGAAGGGCCUCAAAGCUGAGAGUCAACCCAGGGAUUCUGGGUGGGAUUUUUAAAAUUUACUUAUAUGUAGUUUUUACAGUCCAGCCUGUCUCCCCCUUCCCCCAUACCUGAUCCUGCCCUGCUUUCCCCUCCUCCUCCCCUCUCCCACCCAGCUCCAUCCCUCCCUCUGCCUCCCAUGAUUAUUUUCUUCUCCCUUUCUAAGUGGGAUUGAAGCCUCCUCACUAGGGCCCUUCUGCUUGUUAACCUUCUUGCAGUCUGUGGGAUGUAGCCUAGAUGUUCUGUACUUUGGGGCUAAUAUCCACUUAUAGUGAGUAGCUACCAUACGUGUCCUUUUGGGUCUGGGUUACCUCACUCAGGAUGAUAUUUUCUGCUUCCAUCCAUUUGCCUGCAAAAGUCAUGAUGUCCUUGUUUUUAAUAGCUGAGUGGUAUUCCAUUGUGUAAAUGAACCACAUUUUCUGUAUCCAUUCUUCAGUUGAAGGACAUCUGGGUUGUUUACAGCUUCUGGCUAUUGCAAAUAAGGCUGCUAUGAACAUAGUGGAGCAAGUGUCCUUGUGGUAUGGUGGGCAUCUUUUGGGUAUAUGGCUGUACUGGCUAGUUUUGUGUCAACUUGACACAGCUGGAGUUAUCACAGAAAAAGGAGCUUCAGUUGAGGAAAUGCCUCCAUGAGAUCCAACUGUAAGGCAUUUUCUCAAUUAGUGAUCAAGGGGAAGUCAGCCAGUAAGGAACAUCCCUCCAAUGGCUUCUGCAUCAGCUCCUGCUUCCUGACCUGCUUGAGUUCCAGUCCUGACUUCCUUGGUGAUGAACAGCAGUAUGGAAAUGUAAACUGAAUAAACCCUUUCCUCCCCAAUUUGCUUCUUGGCCAAGAUGUUUGUGCAGGAAUAGAAAUCCUGACUAAGACAAUGGCCAAGAGUGGUAUAGCUGGGUCUUCAUGUAGAACUACUUCCAACUUUCUGAGUAACCUCCAGAUUGAUUUCCAGAGUGGUUGUACCAGCUUGCAAUCCGACCAGCAAAGGAAGAGCGUUCCUCCUUCACAUCCUCGCCAGCAUGUGCUGUCACUUGAGUUUUUGAUCUUAGCCAUUCUGGUUAGUAUAAGGAGGAAUCUCAGAGUCAUUUUGAUUUGCAUUUCCCUGAUGACUAAGAACUUUGACUAUUUCAUUGUUUUAUUUUUUCCUUUUUGUUCAGUAAUGAUUAUAAUUUCAUUUAUUGUCUUUAAGGGAGAUGAGAAUAAAACAAACUUAGAGAAAGAGAAGACUAAAAUAUUAAAUGCUAGAUUGAAGGCCAUAGAAGAGAAAUUAUAGGAUAUUUUAAGUCAAAAUAAAGAACCUUCUAAGANNNNN